GCCAAUCAGCAGCAGACCCUCCCUCCCAGACCCUUCCACCUCCUGGACAGCUCACUAAGAAUGCAGCUUCACAAUGAAUGUAAAAUGGAUGCUGUCCAGGAGGUGGGAGGGUCUGGGAGGGAGGGUCUGCUACUGAUUGG